UAGCUAGUUGGUGAGGUAAAGGCUUACCAAGGCGACGAUCUGUAGCGGGUCUGAGAGGAUGAUCCGCCACACUGGAACUGAGACACGGUCCAGACUCCUACGGGAGGCAGCAGUGGGGAAUUUUGGACAAUGGGGGCAACCCUGAUCCAGCCAUGCCGCGUGAGUGAAGAAGGCCUUCGGGUUGUAAAGCUCUUUCGGCCGGGAAGAAAUCGCAUGGGCCAAUACCCUGUGUGGAUGACGGUACCGGAAUAAGAAGCACCGGCUAACUACGUGCCAGCAGCCGCGGUAAUACGUAGGGUGCGAGCGUUAAUCGGAAUUACUGGGCGUAAAGCGUGCGCAGGCGGUUUUGUAAGACAGGCGUGAAAUCCCCGGGCUCAACCUGGGAACUGCGUUUGUGACUGCAAGGCUAGAGUACGGCAGAGGGGGGUGGAAUUCCACGUGUAGCAGUGAAAUGCGUAGAGAUGUGGAGGAACACCAAUGGCGAAGGCAGCCCCCUGGGUCGAUACUGACGCUCAUGCACGAAAGCGUGGGUAGCAAACAGGAUUAGAUACCCUGGUAGUCCACGCCCUAAACUAUGUCAACUAGGUGUUGGGUGGGUAAAACCAUUUAGUACCGUAGCUAACGCGUGAAGUUGACCGCCUGGGGAGUACGGCCGCAAGGUUAAAACUCAAAGGAAUUGACGGGGACCCGCACAAGCGGUGGAUGAUGUGGAUUAAUUCGAUGCAACGCGAAAAACCUUACCUACCCUUGACAUGCCAGGAACUUGCCAGAGAUGGCUUGGUGCCCGAAAGGGAGCCUGGACACAGGUGCUGCAUGGCUGUCGUCAGCUCGUGUCGUGAGAUGUUGGGUUAAGUCCCGCAACGAGCGCAACCCUUGUCGUUAAUUGCCAUCAUUUAGUUGGGCACUUUAACGAGACUGCCGGUGACAAACCGGAGGAAGGUGGGGAUGACGUCAAGUCCUCAUGGCCCUUAUGGGUAGGGCUUCACACGUCAUACAAUGGUCGGUACAAAGGGUUGCCAAGCCGCGAGGCGGAGCCAAUCCCAGAAAGCCGAUCGUAGUCCGGAUUGCAGGCUGCAACUCGCCUGCAUGAAGUCGGAAUCGCUAGUAAUCGUGGAUCAGCAUGUCACGGUGAAUACGUUCCCGGGUCUUGUACACACCGCCCGUCACACCAUGGGAGCGGGUUCCGCCAGAAGUAGGUAGCCUAACCGCAAGGGGGGCGCUUACCACGGCGGGGUUCGUGACUGGGGUGAAGUCGAAACAAGGUAGCCGUAGGGGAACCUGCGGCUG
rnacentral:rRNA from 1 species